rnacentral:misc_RNA from 1 species
AAGAGACUGUAGAAUACUUCCACAUGCCAAACUAAUCGAUCCUCAUUCCGACCAUGAAAUACAGGGUAGUCGAGGCGAGGAAGCGAGGAACACUACUAGUUAUAGUCGAAAUGCACGACCACGGACUUCAAUGGCAAUCAGAUUAUUUUGGCAACGUAUCUACAAGAGAUCUCCCUGGAAAAAUUAUUUUCAAUACAGAGUGCACAUUCUUUCCAUGAGAUUGCACCUCAAUUUCCAUGAAUUGUCUUGUAUGGUUUCCUAAAAUGUUGGGCAUGAGAUUGAUGAGGCCUUUUUCUGUCCACGGAUCUCUAUGCGAUAGACCCUUAGUGGUGUCUCCUACCCAGAGCAUUA